CGCGUCUUGUUCGAAUUCCUCCCAAAAGAGGCCCUGAGACGAAGACUAUUUAUUUGGGCAGUGACCCCUGGGCAGGAAUUGAGGCAGUUGGGAGCACACGAUGGGAAGGGAGAAAGCCAGUAACUCUUGCACCGCUGAGGAGGUCACUACUGUGGGCGCCUGAGGCGCAGUUCCCCUGGGGAGCCUCUGAGAAACCAUGUGGGACACACCUCAGAGUCACCCCGCUGGGGGACAGGGACGGGCUUUAUGCACUAACUGCCACCCUGACGUGGAGGGUUGCCCCAGCACACAGCUCCUCGCACUCAGUUGGCGCAGCGCCCCGGUGGAGGUGGGAGCACCGGUGGAGGUGGGAGCCCUGGAGACCCGGCGGAGAAGAGGUUGCCUUCCAUCAUGGCUGGGUCUAGAGGCCACGCGGUGCCAUCAGGACCACGUUUCUCUGCACCCCUCAGCUCCACGCCCUGCCCUGCUGGCUCCAUCUGACAGGCCUGCCCUCUUGGUGGUGGGAAACCUACCGGCAGCUCUCCACCUGCCUCCUGUCCUGGGAGCACAAGAGGAAGUUUCCCCCAAGAGGCUUGGCUCCUGUUUCCUCGUGGCUCCUUCCCGAAAUGUGAUACCAUAAGAUCCUAUUCUGCUCCAGCCAUCCUGCUUGGACGAAGAAGUCUGUUCUAAUCGAAUCAAAGGGCUGCUUCACAAGGCUUCGCUGGCCUGGAUUCUCUGCGUUCUCCUGCCCACUCCCGUGGACGCCCA
rnacentral:lncRNA from 1 species